rnacentral:rRNA from 1 species
UACGGAGGAUGCAAGCGUUAUCCGGAAUUAUUGGGCGUGAAGCGUCCGCAGGUGGCACUUCAAGUCUGUCGUCAAAGACCGGGGCUUAACCCUGGAAAGGCGAUGGAAACUGAAAGGCUAGAGAGAGGUAGGGGUAGAGGGAAUUCCCAGUGUAGCGGUGAAAUGCGUAGAGAUUGGGAAGAACAUCGGUGGCGAAAGCGCUCUACUGGACCUCAUCUGACACUCAGGGACGAAAGCUAGGGGAGCGAAUGGG